rnacentral:lncRNA from 1 species
CCUUGUUGGUUGACGUCACUUGGUUCAUGAAGCCUUCGCCUAGAAGUGAAGCUGCUGAACAAACCUUGAGAAGAAUCAUCUCCUGCUUCAAUCUGCUGCUGGAUAGGAACUAAUCAGAGAGAGAGCGGCGGAAGACGGGGACGGAGGGAGCCAGGGCUUUCGCGAUCACGGAUCUCACCUCCACUCCAACUCCCUAGACUUUCUUGUAGAAAUUAUAAGAGAAAUAAGGAGGCGGUGGGGAUUCCGAAAAGCUUAACCUGCACCCGGGAAGGGCGAAAAUCCCUUCCACCGCAACUCAGUUCGAAAGUGAAGGUUUGUCAACAGUGAUGUCACAAGACUGACCACAUUGAUCACAGUAAGACCCAAAUGACAGUGCAGCUUCAAAGCACACUGUUGUCAUCGUCCCCGCCACCCCCCACCCCCACAGAAUAAGAAUGAGCUGGGAGAUAUUUGUAACAAUGGGCUGCUCCUGCCAGCUCACUGAAUGUUUACAUUUUCAGUGACUCACAUUUCAUAUUUCUAGUUACUUACCACUUGUAAAAUGCCUUAAAGGACUUUAAAGUCACUUAAAAUGAAAAUUUAUAACUAAAAUUAUUUGCAUGCAUAUUUCACUGUGAAUCAUGCUGUCAUCUUUUUUCAUUUGUUUUUUUACCAAAAUGUGGCAAAAGAUUUAAGGUUAUUCCAUAUUAGGGAAAAACUAGAAAAAUACAAUUACUUGAGACAGUUGUGGAUUAUUAAGGACUGGUUAUGAAAGCCUAGCAACUUCAAAGAAUUCUCAGACUUCUUCCUUACAGUCUUAUUGGUACCCAGAUACUCUUACACAACCUCCCCCGUGGCAGUGUUUAGAGAAAAUAAUUCUUCUGUUUAGUUUUAUUUCUAUGUCAAGGAAAUGUGUCGCCUAAACAUAGCCCCUUAGCGACACCUAGCUCCACAAGUGUUGGUUUUUGGUUUAUUUGUGGUGCUGAUAUUGAACACAGGCUUAUACAUAGGAAAACAUGAAUUCUGAGACAUGACCCAGGCCUGGCACAGGAUUCUCAACUA